AUCCAGCUGACGAGUCCCCAAAUAGGACGAAAAGCGCAUCCUGGAU
rnacentral:hammerhead_ribozyme from 1 species